GACGGGGUCAUUGGGGAGUAGCCGCCCUGUUUCCCACAGGGGCAUGCGUCAACACACUUGGCCUUUCGGCCAUGGCGCUUGCAGCUUCACGCCUGGCAAGACCUUUGACCACAUCGCCUCCGCUCGGGCCGGGGAUGCGUGUGGUCAUCGGUAUUCAUGCCGGCCCUGGAG
rnacentral:sRNA from 1 species